rnacentral:tRNA from 1 species
UCCCUGGUAGCUCAGCGGUUAAAGCAUCUGCCUGCAAUGCAGGAGACCUGGGUUUGAUCCCUGGGUUGGGGA